ensembl:lncRNA
AACCACCACCACAUAGAACCACCAUCACAUAGAACCACCGUCAGAUAGAACCACCGUCACAUAGAACCACCGUCAGAUAGAACCACCGUCAGAUAGAACCACCGUCAGAUAGAACCAAUCCCGAUCAUUGCCGCCAGUCUCUCAUCAGGAGGGGACAGCUCCGGUGUCGUGAGGCUGCAGCGUUGCUCUGCAACCUUUUGCCCCUCAGGUGCCUUGUUGGCAUCAGUGAUCCACACUGUGUCCUCCAAAGAGCAUCUUACGUCUCCUUCCACCUCCCAGUGAUCAUCUCCACUUCACACUGAGUGAAGUUACGUCUCUUCGUUUUCCUCUCAGUGUUUGUCAUGAUUUCACAAUCGAUGAAUAUUCAUUUGUGGGCGUUCCACAGACUAUAUAAGGGCAACUGUGGGCGUGACAUGAAGCCGCAAAAGCUGCGCUGCGUUUAGAAGUGAUUGUGAUUUAUUAAGGGAAAACUGCGUAGGACGUUUUAUCUGAGUCUGAAUAUUUCUGUGCGUCCGCACGUCCUACGUUUCAUCCGUACGACACUUCUGGAGCAAAUCCUACGCAAGGUUUUAUAAAUGAGGCCCCUGGUGUGGUAGAUGGACGUGGAUUUUAUCUCAGAGUAUUUGAGCCGCCAUUUGGCUUUUUAAUUGGUAAGCGCCUCGUGAUCUAAAUGAUUUUAAUGAGUGGUUGUAUUACCUAUUUUACCUCUUGCCCGUGCUGACCCAACUUGUUGACCCCUUGCAAAGAUUUUUAAAUCGAGGUGCACCCCUUUUAUUGGGUAUACGGCUCUUUGAGAUUUUAGACAGUGUUUUGCGUUGAAAGUUUUAUAACGGAUUUUGUGAUCCAGAGUGUAAUAAAUGAUCUUGCUUUUAAAUUCAUUGAUUUUGUUUGAAACUGUGGUUCGCACAGUACCUCACUGUUUGUUUAUUAUUAUUUACGUUUUUGUGGUUGUGAUAGUAUAAAUAUUGGCAACUCUUAUUAAAGUAAAAUUAUUUUAUUUUAUUUACCAACAAGAAAACUUUUUAGCUGUGGUAUUUUAAAAUGAGUUAAGUCGACUGUGUAUGAAAAAUACAUUUGGCAAAUCACAUUCAGAAUGAAAUUCUUUUUAAGCUUGGUCCAUUGGGCUUAUAUUAUCAUUGUAUUGGAAUAUCGGAUCAAUUGAAAGAAUUCCAUAUUAAGAUUCAUAUUUGUUUGCUUUGCUGCUCUCAGUUGACUUUACAUCCGAUUAACUUUGAUGUAUGAAUACAUAACACAAGCGGUAACAAUUAACAGAGGAAAUAGUGGAGAAACUUUUUUUUUUAAUUCUUUUAAUAAGCACACCAGCUGACGGUUGUGUUUUUAAGUGGUGAUUCAAUGGCGCCGCCUGCAUGUGAGUCAGUGAGACUGUGACUGAAGGGCCGCCCGAGGCCACAUCUCCCCUCAGCGUCCAGGUAGCUGAAGGUGGCAGCUCCUCCGCCCCCGAGCACCAGGCCGUCUGAUCAGCUUCCAGACUCCCACUUUCCCUCCAGGAGCAGCGAGUCAGCCUCUGCCAUCGCGCUGGAUUUAGCUGCAGAGGGGGAGACAGUCCUCCGGAGCUUUCAAAGGUUUCCUCCAUCAAAGGCUGAAUGACAACCUGAAAGCCACUGAGUGAAGGCAGAGGAUGUGCAUGUGUUGGGCAGAGAGUGGGAAAUGAGUGUGGAGGAGAAGAGUGCACCAGAAGUGCAAAGAAAGUAUAAUAUAUGUUUAAAAAACAAACUAGUAUUAUACAAAAUAAAAAAAUUGAAUACAGCAUUUUUUAUAAUCAGGUCGACCAAAUGGGGAGCGUCUGCUUAGGAGUCGUAAGAAAUACAUUUUCUUUUUAUAGAUCUGCUAUGUUCAGUUUAACAAUAUAUUUGCAGGAUUCAGUUGAAGGUUGAAGCAGUGAGGAGGUGAGAAGGGACCGUUAAACCAAAUUCUACAUGACUACCUUAAAAGAAUGACUGCCGCAAUUCUCCCCAUUUGUGUAAUCAAUCAAUGUACCUUGACCCUCCUAAACACUCCUCCCUCUAGGCGCGGUCUAACAAAACCUAACUUUCAUGAAACAUACUGAGCCCUGAAGCUGAACUUGUUUCCACUCUAUCUACAUACCUGGCACAUUUACAGCCACUAAAACUAACCAUUUCAGCCUGAGUACUUCAUGCUAUGGGAGAUGUGUUCAGAACAGAAUGGGGCCAAAAAAGGAUUUAAAUGAGGAAUACAGCCGACGUGUCUCACCAGCCUAAAGAAGAUGGCACUACAGACAUGCUAAGUAGUUUCGUAAAAAGAUGUUGUCACUGUCAUUUAGUCACCAACAAACAUGACGGGAGCGUAGGACUGAAGGCUGGCAGGCAUUCAAACCAGGUUCUCCUCUCAUGGAUUUAGAUGUAUUACACUGGUUUGAGCGUGGGCUUGUAGGAAUAGACCAAUGUAUUAUGUACCUACUGAGGGGAUUGUGUAAAUGUCUGGAUAGUGUCACAGGGUAUGCAUCAUGUCUGAGGGCGUCUGGGUGGUACUUUCUCCAGCAGGCUGGAAGACCAUGUUGGAGAGACACCAGGCAGCCGGAUGCCAGCUGAUCAAAUCACCCACACAUACAAACAGGCCUACUUCUCAGCACUUGAUAUAACCUGGGUCCUAUUUUUGUAGUUUUGUUAUCACUACUGUCAGUUGGGGCGAUAGUUUUCUGACCGAGUGUCCCAGCUCUUCCACCUCUUCCUCACCUAAUCAGUCCAUUCAGGGCACCUGCCAGUCACUCCCACCUCCUCCACUCAUUACUCUCACCUGCUCACGCUGCUUCUGCCACUUAUUAAACCCCUGCAUUACACACGUCCUCACUGCCAGGUCGUUCCAGCACAAACACUGAUUCCUAUUGUGUGUCUUUGGGGAAACUAUGGCUGCUGUUUAUUGUGCUGCUUCUGGGUCCGUACCUUACCCGUUACACCUACGUGAUAUCCGAGACCUGAUAGUAGCCUGGGAGCCGCUGCGCUGUUAACGGCAGCUCGUCUGUAGUUAAUAUAGUAACUAUAAUAUAAUAUAAUAUGAACCUGAAAUGUCUCUUUCUAAGUCAGUAACGUUACACAAUAAAUACACAGAAACUGGACUCGCUUUGCUCCUUUUGUUGAGUUGUGUGAUUAUAAACUAACUUUACAUUUAGUUGUGUUCUUCAAGUUCCUCUCUCAGUAAUUUGUUACUGUCAAGCGCAGCAGGUUGCUAGGCAACAGGAGCAGCAGCGGUAACGCUGAUGACGCAAGCAGGAAGUCCCCCAGUAGGCCAGACCGUCCCAUUUCAGAGACCGUCAGGUUCAGCCUGUGCGGUUGUUGGAGGACCAGACCAGGUCUACGAAGGCUGCUGAAGGCUGCAGGCCACAAGGAUGCAGCCUAGCGACUUCGAGACACAGCUUCUGUCUUGUGGCCACAUCACCUACAAACCAUUAACCCCUUACCUGUCUUCAAGUAUUUCCUUCCAGUAGCGCUAUGCGAUAAGUAAGAGUUGGCCUUUGGAGAUCAAUAGUAGGUUUCGCCAAUCCCCCAGUAGCUAGAAGAACAACCAUGUGAUGUAAUUGAAACGAAGUUGAACAUCAAACGGUGAAAAAACGUAUAGAAAACUGGAUAUAAUUGUGAUAUUUGUCUUUUGUUUGUAUGUGACAGUGCAAGUAACACACUUGUACUGUACAGACGUCCGUUUGCUACAAUCUGUUUGCAUUGCUCUUUAAUCCAGUUUGUUUUUAAUCAAUCCACCAUCUUCUCUUACGCCAAACAUAAACACUCUUUUUCCUAAUAUUUCAUGGUAUUUUGUGCAAAUUGAAAUCGUGCAUUAAAACAAUUGGAUGGACACGCAGUAGCAUCCUGGAUCAGACAGAGCUACAAGGAUUCCAAGUCAUUUAAAGGAUAGUUGGUAAAGUUUCCUCUAGUUUUCUUUUCCUCAAUCUUUUAAUGUUCACUUUAAAUUAAGUCCACCGGACUUCGUCUUCGGCGAUAGACAGGGUACAUCCUGGAUUGGUCGGCAGCCAAUCGCAGGGCCAACACAGAGACAAACAACCAUUCACACUCACAUUCACACAUCUACGGGCAAUUUAAAGUCCCCAGAGCAUGUCUUUGGACUGUGGGAGGAAGCCGGAGAACCCGGAGAGAACCCACGCAGAGAACACGCAGACUCCACACAGAAAGGCCACUGGGCGGAAUCGAACCCAGGACCUUCUUGCUGUGAGGCAACAGUGCUAACCACCACGCCACCGUGCCGCCCUGUUUUACAAAUGUACGGUUCGUAUUUUGCACUCUGAUAUAUUCAAAUUCAGAUAAAAUGGGACUUCUUAUUCAAAAACUCUUAUCAUGGAACCAAAUAAAUCACAAGCU